rnacentral:rRNA from 1 species
ACUACUUACAAGGUGCUGCAUGGUUGUCGUCAGCUCGUGCCGUGAGGUGUCGGGUUAAGUCCCAUAACGAGCGCAACCCCUAUCGUUAGUUGCCAGCAAGUAAAGUUGGGGACUCUAACGAGACUGCCGGUGUAAACCGUGAGGAAGGUGGGGAUGACGUCAAAUCAGCACGGCCCUUAUAUCCAGGGCUACACACGUGUUACAAUGGUCGGUACAAAGAGCAGCCACUUGGUGACAAGGCGCUAAUCUCUAAAGCCGAUCUCAGUUCGGAUCGAAGUCUGCAACUCGACUUCGUGAAGUUGGAUUCGCUAGUAAUCGCGCAUCAGCCAUGGCGCGGUGAAUACGUUCCCGGGCCUU